rnacentral:misc_RNA from 1 species
AUAUUAUGUGUAUUAUCUAUGCGUAUCUCUUUUAAAAGUUAGGCAGGCCACCAAAACCGCAAAUCACAAUAAUAAUAGUAAAGGCUUUGUAGGUAUCCAUAGAUUAUACACUUAAUAUAUUCGAUAGGUACCUACAUUUUAAAAAUUCGUAUCGAUAAUUCAGUAAAUAUGACUGCGAAAAGUGAAAAAACAAAAUUAAAAGUUGAAACAAAAGAAGGUCCUAUAUAUGGAUACAAAGAGACUACCAAUGAAGGCACAUACUGUAAAUUUAAAGGCAUUCCAUAUGCAAAACCACCUGUCGGACAUCUACGAUUCUUGCCUCCUCUCCCUGCCACUCCUUGGACUAAUGAAAAAGACUGCACCCAAGAUCCGCCAAUGGCUUUGACUUGGUCAUUUAAGUAUGAACAUAUAAUUGGCUCUGAAGACUGUCUAUAUAUUGAAGUUUCAACCCCAACUCUUAAGCCGAAGAAACUUAUGCCCGUAAUGUUUUGGAUUGGAAGUUAUGGUUUUUCAUUUAAUAUGGAUUACUUAUAUGACACUUCCCUAAUUAAUAAUCAAGAUGUUGUAUUUGUAACAUGUGGCUUUAGGCUUGGAGCAUUUGGAUUUCUUUCUAUCAAUGAUUUUACAGCUCCAGGGAAUUGUGGACUAAAAGAUGUGGUCCUAGCAUUAAAAUGGGUUCAAAGAAACGUUGAUACAUUUGGAGGAGACCCAAACAAUGUAACAAUAUUUGGUAAUAGUUCUGGAGGUGUCAUGGUACAUUUUAUGAUGUUUUCACCAAUGGCAACUGGCUUAUUUCACAAAGCAAUAAUUCAAAGUGCUUGUGUUUUGAAUAAUUGGUCUUUGGCUAAUCAACCUACACAGCCUGUUAAGGAAUUAGCAAAAUUACUAGGCAUAAACAAAACAUGCUAUAUUGAAAUAAUUGAUGAAUUAAGACUAAAACCAGCCAAUGAAAUUGUUAUAGCCUGUAGAAAAAUGGACGUUGAAUUCUGUAUCGUUCAAGAUAAUAAUAUCAUGGAUGCAGUCUUCAAACCAUGUAUUGAAGUUGAAUUUGAGGGUCAACCUGCAUUUCUUUCUAAAAGGCCCAUUUUUCUAAUAAAAUCAGGUAAUUACAAUAAAGUACCUAUAAUUAUAGGUAGUAACAAUAUAGAAGGAGCUGUGAUACAAUUUGUAAAAGAUGAUUUCUAUGAUUUUGAGAAGUACAACAAAAAUGUCUCUCUGCUUGUACCUAAGUCACUUGCUGGAGAAGAUCCACAGUCAAAAAAUAUUGGUAAUAAGUUACUAAAGUUUUAUCUGGGUGGUGAUGAGCUGUUACGUGAAGACACAAGAGCCCAAUAUUUGCAACUAAUAAGUGACUACUAUUUUCUGUAUCACGUCAAUAAAACUGUAAGACUACACAGUCAAUACUCGCAUGAAUACCCAAUAUAUUACUAUUUACUUACUUAUGCUGGAGAAUGGUGUGUUCCGGAAAGUUUGAAUUUUUUCAAUUCACUUGGACAUUGUGCUGAAAUACCAUUUGUAUUUGGGAUUAAAGUACCAGGAAAGCUCAAUGAAGCAGUGUGCAAAGGAAGUCGUGAUUCUAUUAAAACAAGAAGUAGAGUCGUAAAAAUGUGGACAAAUUUUGCAAAAUAUGGAAAUCCUACACCAGCAAGCGAUGAUCCAUUACUUCAAAUAACUUGGGACCCUGUUCAGAGCAGUGAAAAAUUAAACUAUUUGAGUAUUGGGUCAGAAUUAACAAAAGGAAGAAACCCGUUUCUAGAGAGAAUGCAAUUUUGGGACCAAUUAUACGAAAAUCAUACAUUCCUUAGAGCUCAAGUUUAUUUUAACGAUUUGGGUGUGUCAUGGUAACUACAACAAACUUUAGGUAUAAUAGCCGGCAAACUUCUUGAGCAUUUGUUGACGUAAUGGGGAUUGAACGAAACUAUUCAUUCCGGUAACUUUCUUCUUCCCUGAUCUUU